GUUUGAUGUCCGAGGUCAAACAACAUCCUCAAUACAGCGGUGGAACUGCAGCUUAUAUAAAGUUUAUGUUGACAGAUCCCGUAUCUCUAAAACCUACCGGGUCACCUUGUAAUAGCAUUGACACACGUACUCAGUGUUUACUUUAGCUGUGUAUAUAAACAGCCACAUGCUAGGGGAGUAGAUAAUUUUACAACUGCUGUUGUUGCAUCGUAAAAAUUUGUAAGAUAUUUCCCUAUUUCCCCAAUACCAUGUCUUCCAGAGUUCUGAUAUUACUAUCCGUAAUUCUGAUGGUCACAUUCCACGUUGGCGCGAGUUCACUUGCGGUAGACAACGUACAGGCGGUGCCUCUAUGCUACUGGAUAUGUCAGCCAGGCCCUGUUGGUGACCCCCUGGUCUGUGACCGCUGCGACUACCAAGUGGGGACAUGUGUGUCCUUUGGCAGCCAAAAAUGCUGGGUUGGUGGUCGGAACUGCGCCAAAAGUAACUGGUACGCCAUCAAGUGCUGCCGUCACCACCAUUGUUAAAAUACCGUCAGAGGGCGCCACACAGUGGAACAGUAAUAUUGACUAUGGAACUGUAUGAUUACUGUUCAGUCAGUAUUAGUGGCAAAUUAAGAUUAUAGAAAAGAGAGAAAACAUUUUCAGUUGACAUCUUCAAAGAUACAUGACGACACAUGAUGAUCAAUUAUUGGUUCCCCUUAAAGAUAAUAAAAUAUUCAGUAUCUUGUGGUAUAUAACGACAUCUGUUUCGUUGUUGAUAUAUAUCGCCAUGGUGAUUUUACCUCACAUAAUUUAAGCGUCACCACUCACUCUGCUACAUGUUUAUUAGAAUAUCUACAGAUCGAACCACGGAGGGUUUUUAGCAUGAUGUCAUAUGUAACAAGACACAAGCUUUAACGCGGAAGAACUGCAGCCGGGGACAAAAAUAUCUGCUCAGAACUUAGCUAUGGAGAGCUAAGCAUACGAGUCAAAUUCUUUGUAUUGAAAUAACUGUUUUGACGUUUUCUCAUUAUCAUAACAUGCUACUUAGUCUGAUUUUAACACGAGUGCUAUGAAAAAAUAAGGAUAAAAAUUUUGCGUAUCAACAUGGUAUACUAAUGUACUGGUGUGUAAUUUGGGUACUUGUAUUUGAAAACGUUAUCACAUGGAAUAGCAGUUUAUCAACUUUACAUAAGCAAAUCGUAAAUAUCGGGACUCAAUUUUAAAAUGAGAAAAACGUUAUCGGUUUUGAGGGCACAACUUAUGCUAUCGAUUUUCGAGGCACACUUGUAUUAUUUAUGACGUUUAAACGUUUGAAUGCCACCACGAAAAUAAAUGAUAUGGAGUUGAAUUCGUCUAUUUACUGGAAUAUAUAAUCCCCCACGAAUUUUAGAAAAAAAAGCCUUUAUCAAGCAUCAAAUGCAUUUUAAGCAUUUUUAU